UGAUGUGAGAGGAAUAUGGCUUCAAUAACUGUCACCCCAUUGAUCACCAUGGUUGACAGCUGAUCUGGCUGACUAGGCUGGUGUCCCCUUCUUCCCUCAACAUUCCACAUGUGUCCCUCCUGUGGCUCUGUCAAAGAGGAUGACCUUCCUUGUUAGAGGAGGACCAGUUUCUGGUCAAGGGUAUAUGAGCAGUUGUGCUCCCCUGCUAGAACCUCCAAACAGGCUCUCAAAUGUUUUGCUUUAGCAGUUUCAACAUUUCAGGUUUUGAAUUAAGGUUAUAGAAACAUUUUUAAAUGGAUUUGACUUAGUGAGUUUUUCAUU
rnacentral:snRNA from 1 species